ACACACACACUUUGCUCUAAUGCUAGGAAAAGGAAAAUUUAUUUUGGUGUUUUAAAAGUAUCUAAAAUAAAGGGAAGGAAACAUAAUGUUGGAGAUUCAUGAAUACAUAUAGUGUUCCUACUAACGAUCAUCCUGAGAAAUUAAUUUUGUUCUAAAUGAGAUUACUUCUUUUUAUCUCUACUCAGUUCUAUAGUUACUGUACAGCAUUAAUCUAUAAUAGCCACUGGAAGUCACUGGCAGUUUUUCUAUGCAACAGGAUAUCCCACUGGUCCAAUGCUGUGACACGAGUAGUUAGUGUGUAGGUUUAGACAAUACUUCCUCCUCAAAAUCCAUCUGGAUGCAGUGAUUUAUGUGGAGGCCAAGACAUCUCUGGCAGUGGAAAAGACAAGACUUCUGUCAAUGUUGGAGUUUGAAUAGGUACAACAUAUCUAAUUGGAUGAGGUUGUGAGGUACUGUGAAAAAAGCAAGGUUACAGUCAGGGAUGAACUCGUCAUAAAGAAUGAAGUCCGUCAUAGUCAGCAGGAUGGUAUAGCUAUGUGUGGCAACAGGUAAAGUGAACCAGGCAGGUAUAAAUGUUUGAGCAGGAAAAAAACUCAUGUUUCCUGGGUAUGGGUACACGUAUAAAACUUCUAAAUCGUAGCACAGCAGCAAGUGUUUGCCUUUCAGAGGAGCUUUUGUGGACAGGAUGGGCUGACAGCAAUCUUUGCCUGACCUAAUCUUUGGAGAUCUGCACGUCAGUGGGUUCCGGGGCUGAGUGGUAGAGUCCAGGUGUAGUUAUCAGAGGAGAGUGCCAGCCUCAGUUUUUGUGUUAAUGGUCGUGGCGGCCCAGCAGGAACAAGGGCCUGUGCAUCAGUGGUUCUUUGGCAUUUUGUCUGGGAGAGAAUGAUCAACAAGACUGUAAUUGAGACUACAGUGUGACCACAUAAAUUGAGCAGAGAGAGACACAUGUAAGAGACUUCCAUCUCUGAUCUCUGGAGAAGCACAGAGACUUUUGUAUUCCAAUAUAGAUUGAUUUUUAUAAAAAGAUGAAUUUAAGGUGCUCAUAGCCAAUCAUCUCCAGUGUUGUAAAUGGCAACCAAAUAUUUAAUAAAAAUAUAAAUCCAAUUACAUCAAGCAUUAUUUAACUUACACAGUCAUAGAAUUCAUCAAUGUUUCAUUAUUCUGAUUUUUUUUUAAGGCCAAGUCAUCAGGUUGUAAGAGGGAAUUCAUAAGGACAGAAAAACAUAAUUGUGCUACUUUCUUUGCUAUUACAUAUAAGUAACAAUGAUAGCAAACAUUUAUACCCUUUAGGUUUGUUGUCUCACUUAAUUAUCUCUGUAACCUUAUGAGGAAGGUGCUUUUUUUGUAAUCACAUUUUAUACAUGGGAAAAUUUAGGCAGAUGGAAUUUGAGUAAUUUGCCCAGGACCCUACAGUUAACAAAUUGUAGAAAAGGGAUUUGAACUCAUGUAGCAUGUGAUUACCCACUAUGUCAUGCCCACUACUGGGAGAAAUACACUAUGGUAGAACAUGCUAUAUGACCAAUAAAUGAAAUAUUUAUUUGAACUUUAUGGUACUUUUUGACUAUGUUUAAAUGAUUUAUUUAAAUCAAGAUUCCAUCUGAGUUUCCCACUACAUAGUGCUUGGGAAGAGUGGACAGUGACACUAGUUAACAUGAUUUAGUAGUUGGUGGCUUCGAUUAGCAGUAAAUUGAUGACAUGACAACCUGGAAUGAGAAGGGUUGAAAACAGAGAAAACUUUUAUUCUUUAAGAGUUUAUGAUUUUUUUGUUAUUAUUGUUAGGGAAAACACUGUAUUAUUGUAGUAUGUUUUAAUUAAAGAUGAAAUAAGAUAGAGGUUUGUAUCUAUGAUAUCAUAUUGAUAUUAAUUCACUUAAUGGUAGCAGUGUAGUAAUCGAUAAAUGCUUUGACUUUGUAGUAAGAUGAAAGUCUUACUUGGAUAACAACUUGCAGAGCUGAUUUUGUUAGCUUAGGAAAGGCAGAAUGAUUUAAGCUUGGCAAAUGCAUGUAAAAUAGGUGUUCAUUAUUCUAUUUAGAUAAAGCUGGAGGGAUUUAUCUGGUGAUGUGCUUUAUGACUGUCCUUGACUCUGUCUACCUCAACAUUUUAAUAAAUAACAAAAUGAGGACAUUGGUUGGAGAGUGAUCAUAUUUAUGAUCCAUCCAUUCACUUACGUAGAAAUUCAUAUUUACAAGAGUACCUCCUAUGUGUGCCAGGCACUAUCUUAGGACAUGAAAUGCAACAGUGAACAAAACACAAAAAAAUCUAUUGCCUUCAUAGAUUUUUACAUUAAAGUGUGGAAAGAGAGUCACUCACACGCAAAAAGAACAAACAAAAUAUAUACCAUAUUAGUGAUAGACACUGUAUACCAUAUUAGUGAUAGGCACUAUUUAUAAAACAAAGGAAUGAAGUGGGUAGAAAGUGCCAAGAGUUCACAAUUUUUAAUAAGGUAGUCAGGUACGGCCUUGGAGUUGUUGAAACGUGACUAAGACUUCACAGGUGAGGGAGUACAUUAUUUAGAUAUAUGGGGGAAGAGCAGAGGGAACAAGUGCAAAGGCCUGAGGCAAGAAACAUCAAGUGUGACUUGAGCUAAGUAAGCCAGAUGUGAUGUCAGAGAGGGACAGAGUGAGGCCAGACCCACAGAGCUUUGCAAAUCAUGAAAACAUGUUGGCUUUACUUGUGAGUUAGUCAGUGAAGUAUUCAGAGCAGAGAUGUUACAAGGCUUUACUUAUUUUUUUAGAUGAUGUGAUUCUAGUUGAUAGGGUAGAAAACAAAUUGUAGGAAAAAUAAAUGAUGGAAGUAAGGAGAGCUACUGCAAUAAUGCAGCCAAAAGGUAAUGGUAACAGUAAGUAUUGAGGUGGUAGCUCAAUUUCUGGAUAUUUGUUUAUUAUGGAAGAAAAAUUUACAUUAUUCAUACUAUGUACCAGGCACUGUUUUUUAUGAUAUAUUAUGGUAAAAA